rnacentral:ncRNA from 3 species
AGCCAAGGGAACGGGCUUGG